rnacentral:misc_RNA from 1 species
UUUUUUUUUUUAUUUUUUUUAAAUUAAUUAAUUAUUUUUUGUAACUCUUUUUUCUAAAUUUUGUUCUUUCUCGGGUUACUUUCAAUUUACCAUUUUCCAAAUUUUAUUAAUUUUCUUUUGUUCCAAAGAAAUUUUUGAUUUUGAAGUCCGUAAUUGUGAGUUUGUUUUGAUAAAAAUUAAACCUUCUUUUUUUAGCAGUUCUAUUGAGUUGGUUGAGUGCUUGCUUUUAUGCUUUUUUGUAGUUCUGGAAUUGGAGCUUUGAUAGAUUAAUCAGGUUUUAUGACUACUUUGUUUUAUAGCUUCAGGAAGUAAAUUGUUUGUCAAUAAAUUUUCCGUUCUCAACUUUUAAUUCUUCUUCUUCAGUUAAAGUUGAGAGUUCAUAUAUAG